UCCUUGUUAGCUCAGUUAUAGAGCGCUCUGCUGGAAAUGGAGAGGCCCCUGGUUCCAUACCAGGACCAGGCG
rnacentral:tRNA from 1 species